rnacentral:misc_RNA from 1 species
AGCAUUCCUAAAGGGGAGUAGCUGGGACAAUAAAGUCGUCAUUUCGGGAAACAUUCCCCGGCUUUAUUGGCAACGGAAGUUGUUAGCGAGACCUUUACCCACUGU